rnacentral:rRNA from 1 species
AUUGAACGCUGGCGGCAGGCUUAACACAUGCAAGUCGAGCGGAGAUGAGGUGCUUGCACCUUAUCUUAGCGGCGGACGGGUGAGUAAUGCUUAGGAAUCUGCCUAUUAGUGGGGGACAACAUUCCGAAAGGAAUGCUAAUACCGCAUACGCCCUACGGGGGAAAGCAGGGGAUCUUCGGACCUUGCGCUAAUAGAUGAGCCUAAGUCGGAUUAGCUAGUUGGUGGGGUAAAGGCCUACCAAGGCGACGAUCUGUAGCGGGCCUGAGAGGAUGAUCCGCCACACCGGGACUGAGACACGGCCCAGACUCCUACGGGAGGCAGCAGUGGGGAAUAUUGGACAAUGGGCGGAAGCCUGAUCCAGCCAUGCCGCGUGUGUGAAGAAGGCCUUUUGGUUGUAAAGCACUUUAAGCGAGGAGGAGGCUACCUGGAUUAAUACUCUAGGAUAGUGGACGUUACUCGCAGAAUAAGCACCGGCUAACUCUGUGCCAGCAGCCGCCGUAAAAC